rnacentral:lncRNA from 1 species
CUGUAGGUGGCCAACGCCGGGCGCUGGGCCGCCGCUCCUGCCUUGCACGUUAGAGAGCCGGUACAUGCAGGUGGGAAGCUCCACACGGAGAGGCGCGCCGCGCCCGUGAUAAGGUUUUACCUGGUACAUCGGCAUGGCGGAACCAAAGCAAGAGAGGGUGGCGCGUGCCAAACACCAACGCUCAGAAACCGUCCGAGGCUACGACUGGGGGCGGACAUCUCCCUUGUGACCCUGCUGCGGUCGUUCGGGAAAAAAAAAAAAAGCAGUCCGGUGUGCUCUGAUUGGCCCAUGCUCUUUGACGUCACGGACUCGACCUUUGACGGAGCUAAUAGGCGAAAAGGAGAGACGGGAAGUAUUUUUUCCGCCCCGCCCAGAAAGGGUGGAGCACAACGUCAAAAGCAGCCAAUGGGAGCCCAGGAGGCGGGGCGCCUGUGGGAGUCGUGGAGGGAACUUUCCCAGGCCCCGAGGCGGAUCGGGUAUUGAGUCCAUGGAGCGAGCUGAGAGCUAGAGUACAGAACCUGCUAAGGCCAUCAAACCUAUCGAUCGGAAGUCAGUCCAUCAGAUUUGCUCUGGGCCGGUGGUACUGAGUCUAAGCACUGCGGUGAAGGAGUUAGUAGAAAACAGUCUGGAUGCUGGUGCCACCAAUAUUGAUCUAAAGCUUAAGGACUAUGGAGUGGAUCUCAUUGAAGUUUCAGACAAUGGAUGUGGGGUAGAAGAAGAAAACUUUGAAGGCUUAACGAUGUCACCAUUUCUACCUGCCACGCAUCGGCGAAGGUUGGGACUCGACUGGUGUUUGAUCACGAUGGGAAAAUCAUCCAGAAAACCCCCUACCCCCACCCCAGAGGGACCACAGUCAGCGUGAAGCAGUUAUUUUCUACACUACCUGUGCACCAUAAGGAAUUUCAAAGGAAUAUUAAGAAGACGUGCCUGUUUCCCCUUCGCCUUCUGCCGUGAUUGUCAGUUUCCUGAGGCCUCCCCAGCCAUGCUUCCUGUACAGCCUGCAGAACUGCCCCACUCACCUCCUCCAACUCCUCCGGGGAAACCCAAGCCCUGCCGCUCAUGGAACAGAAGAACUGGAACCGAAGUUUCUGGAACAGGACUAUCUGAGAGCGGUUCUUCCUGGCCCUCGGGUUCAUGCAACGGCGUAACUGGAACCGACGCUUACGGACCAAGGGUAUGCGAGAGCGGUACUUCCUGGCCCUCGGGUUCAUGGAACGGCCUAACUGGAAC